rnacentral:rRNA from 1 species
UGUCUUAUUGACGCUAUUCGCCCACGCGUGGUAGCACACNGAUUAGAUACCCUGUUAGUCCACUCCAUAGACGAUGAGUGCUACGUGUUAGGGGGUUUCCGCCCAUUAGUGCUGCAGCUAACGCAUUAAGCACUCCGCCUGGGGAGUACGGUCGCAAGACUGAGACUCUAAGGUAUGACGGUGCCCCGCACAAGCGGUGGAGCAUGUGGUUUUAUUCGAAGCAACGCGAAGAACCUUACCAGGUCUUGACAUCCCGUUGACCACUGUAGAGAUAUGGUUUUCCUUUCGGGGACAACGGUGACAGGUGGUGCAUGGUUGUCGUCAGCUCGUGUCGUGAGAUGUUGGGUUAAGUCCCGCAACGAGCGCAACCCUUGAUCUUAGUUGCCAUCAUUUAGUUGGGCACUCUAAGGUGACUGCCGGUGACAAACCGGAGGAAGGUGGGGAUGACGUCAAAUCAUCAUGCCCCUUAUGACCUGGGUCUACACACGUGCUACAAUGGACGAUACAAACGGUUGCCAACUCGCGAGAGGGAGCUAAUCCGAUAAAGUCGUUCUCAGUUCGGAUUGUAGGCUGCAACUCGCCUACAUGAAGCCGGGAAUC